AGCUGUCUGCCACCAAGAAGUCCAUAGAGAGCCUCAGCAACAUAAUGGUUUUCAUCUUAGGACUAGAACAUUCUAAACAGUUACAUAGCAAAAAGGCACACACUGUCAGUUGACUGGCCCAAAUUCCAUCUGAGGUGCCCUAAUCCACGUCUACUUUCCUGUGAUUGAUUUUCAUGAGACCAUGUGACCCAAUAAUGGCCAAUGAAAUAUAAGCACAUGGUAAUGGUAGAUGUGCCAUAAUUAAGGAUUUGCUGGAGGCGAGGUGGAAUGGAGCUGAGGGAAGGAGGCCAGAGGUUCAGAAGUGCAAGAUGGGGAGGCGCGUGGUGGUAGCCCUGAAGGAGACUUGACUGCGCAGGACAUUGGAAAAGAGGCAACAUCCGAGGGAGUGAUGAUCAAGCUAGAAGGACCAAAAACCGUAUUGACUGCAACAAAACAAAGUUAUAAAAUGUCAUUUUCCUCUAAUUGCCAGACGGCUCCUCACACAAAUCAAAACAUGCUGUUUACCAUGUAAUCACAUAAUAUCACCAGCUGUUUGCAUUCAUAGUAAGUCCUCUUACAUGCCUUUCUCAGACUUAAACAGGAAAAUUCCCCUUUGCUGAACAUUAUUGCCAAAAUAGAACACAUGAAGAAAAAAAAGGGCAUUGAAACCUAGCAAUACAUAUUCACUUCUGGCCCUAGGACUGUAUUUUAAAAUAUAUGAAAGCUUUGGAAAUCACUUUUAUUUUCACUUUGAAUCAGCUCUAAUCUUUCAACACAGCUUUUACUUCUGAAAAUGGACUCCCAUUUUCCCCCA